rnacentral:lncRNA from 1 species
CUCCCCUGUUUCUGAAUGAUGAGAUUUGUAUCACUCGAGAGGAAGCUUGUUCAUCUUAAGAAACUUGUACUCUCUAUAGACAUAAGGCUUGAACUUUGGAGCAUCAUCAACAACUAGCUCCGGCAAAGGUCCGACCACGUGAUCAAGGUUCGGUUCCGCGAAAACCGGCCAAGAGAGUCUCGUCCUCACCAUAUCCAUCGUCGCUCUAUGCUCUCCACUCUUAUACCUCCCAUUGCUCAUCCUCUACAAAACUCACAUUAUUUUUGAAAACUAUUGUAUAAAAUGUUAUUAAAUUUAGAUAGAAACAUAUAAAUUAAAACUUCCUUAAAUAUAUCUUUUAUUAAAAAGAUAUUAGACCAUUAAUUUCAUGGACCGUGCACAUAGCUAAGCAGGCCUUGUACACAUCCCCAACAAUCAAAACCAAACAAACAUGACUUAUCUGAAAAUGUUCAAAACUGUAUCUCUACCUUGAUUUGGUCGGCGAUGAUGACAACGAUCCCUGAGUCAUCAUACUUGACGUCGACCCACUUGUUGUCCUGGUACGCCUGAAGUCCGUCUACCUCAUCAGCGAUCAAGAACGUGAUUCCAUUGAGAUCAGUGUGAUGAGGAGCUCCGUAGAGCAACUCAAGUUUUGGACACGGCGGAUAGAAGAUGAUUUUCAUUAGAUACUCCACCUUUUCUCCACCAAGACCUUCCUUCAAUGCAUCACGAUGUAACCCUAGUCCUUCCGAUAACCAUCCCAUGAUUUUCUCAGAUAGCUUCUUUAUCUCCUUUGCAUACUCCUCAUUCACCUCCCUGUUACAAAAUAAAUAAUCACUUUUUUUUUUCAUUUUAUCGAGUGUUUAAGAUUAAUACACACAGAUUAAAAAAGUGUAAACUUUUAUUCAAUUAAUCUUAAUUAGAUAAAAAUAUCAACCAAUAGUAUUCAACCAAUUCAAAUAUUUUCAAUUAAUGUUUCUUAAAAGUAUACAACUUUUCAACAUUAACUACUAAAAAUACCUUAAAAUUUUAGAAAAUCUAACAUUUUGGAACAAAAAAUAAAUCUAGAAAAUCUUACUUUGAGGAAUAGAGGAACAAUUACAACAUUUUAAUACUUGUACCUGUAAUCUGGAGAGUUCUUAGGCCAGAAUCUGUAGUUGAUUCUUGACGGUGGCCAGACCCUGUGAAAGAGAUGAUCAGCCCAUGUUUUUCUACCUUCUCCAUCUUUCUUGUAAUCCGUUGUGUAUCCUUCUAAGUCUGUUGAAUCAGCUGGCCUCGCUACGGCUUCCUUCUCCUUCUCAGGCAGCUCAAAGAACUCAGUCCCAAGUUCUUUCAACCGCCGCAUCAGCUCGAUGGGAACCCCGUGGUUAACCACCUGGAACAUCCCCCAUGUCUCGCUGGCUUUUACCACCGCACGUGCCACUAGGUCUUCGUUUGGGUUACUUAGAUCGACGAUAGGAAUAUCUACCGGAGAUGUUCCUUGGAACUUUGAAGGGACUGAUUCGGCCAUGUUUUUUUUUUCCUUUCUCACGAUGGGAAUAUUGUUUAUUUAGAUGUUAGUUGGAGGGUGAAGGUGUAGUAUGGGUUUAUACUUUAUAUAGAUAAGAGUACAUGUGAAUGUAGUAGGUGUAUGACAGUAUGAGUCAUUCGUCAGUCACAUACUCACAUUACUUCACUCUACCACAUUUUUCUAUAUGAUUGGUUAUUUGGUUAUCAGAAUAUUAAAAUGUUUCCAAUGAUUCAAAACUUUUAUCUCUUCCUUUAAUAAUUGAUUGUCAGUGGUGCAAAUAUCUAUGAUGGAUUCUUAAAAUUAUAAAAUAAAAUAUCUUAAAACAGGAAAAGCCCACUCAAUAAUCAUACAUCUGAAAUUUAUCAUUAUAGGUAUUUUAUAAAUUUUGAGAAUCUCUCAUAUAUAUUUGUGGUGAAUAUGCUUUUAGAUUACCUUUGAAUUUUGGAUUUUCGGUACUUAAGUUGAACCAUUUUGUAGGUAAGUCAAUGACAAGAGGAGGUACAUGUGCCCCACCUCAUUGAAAUAUUUAUAAGUUUAAAGAUUAGUCCAAAUUAAUAUAGGACAAUUGUCAAUAAUAACACCUUUUGAAGUUUAUGUCUCAAAAAUAGCAUUAGAAGGAGAAAGUCACAAAAAUGACAUUCAUUAAAGGGUAAAAUAUCCAUAAUACCAUUGGUUUAAAAUUAAAUAAACAAACAAAAAUAAAUAAAAAUAAAUAAAAUAAAAUUUUUUUAUAGUUUCAGAUUACAUGUUUUCAGAUUCGAAAUUUUUAUAAAAAAAUUUUUGAAACUGUUUUUAAAAUUUUUAUUUUUUAUUUUAGUAUUUAUUUUUUAUAAAAUUUUAAACCCUAAUUCCAAAACCCCACCCCUUAACUCUAAACCCUAAGGUUUGGAUUAAUUAACCCAAGGGGUAUAAGUGUAUAUUUACCUCUUUAAUGAAACCUAUUUUUGUGACUUUGAGCAUUGAGUGCUACUUUGGGAACAAAAACUUGGUUUAGUGCUAUUCUAGUCUUUUUCUCAUUAAUAUAUAUGAGGAUAAUUAAUAACAAAAAAAAAACUUUUUCACCAUUGACCAAAUUAACAAAAGUAAUUAAUGUUGUUGGCCGACAAACCAUAUUUUUGAUUAACAUGAAUAUUUAGGAAAUCUUCAAAAGCAUCAAUUUUCUAUUAUUUAUAUGAACUUUAGAAUCAUAUAAUCCAUAUUUCCUUUUGGUUUUUGUUCCUUUUGCAUUUUACGUAGAAAAUAGUAACUCUUCUGCUUUCUUUAUACAGAAAUUCUUGGGUUCACCCCCUAUGGUGAACCUUUAGGUUCACCAACCAAUAGUGUUUGAGUAUUUGAUAUUUGAUAUCUUUUAAAAAAGGAAACAACAUUAAAUUUCCAAAUAAGAUUAUCUUUCUAAAAUAAAACAAUAAAAAUACAUAAAAAUAGUUACAAAAAAUAAAUAAAUAAAUAUUUUUAAGUUUUCAGCAAAAUACUAAACCCUAUAUCCUAAAUCUUAAACCCUAAACCCUAAACCUUAAACUUUGGAUAAACUCUAAACGUUUGAAAAUCCUAAACCCUAAAUCAUACAUUAAAAACUAAAUUUUAAUAACACUAAACCCUAAAUCCUAAUCACUAAACCCUAAACCCUUGGGUAAACCCUGAACCCUUGGAUAAAUCAUCAUAAAUCAUAAACUGUAAAUCAAAAAUAUUUAAAAUUAAACUCUAGAGAUUAUGAUUUAUCCAAGGGUUCAGGGUUUACCCAAGGGUUUAGGUUUUACCCAAGAGUUUAGGGUUUAGUGAUUAGAAUUUAGGGUUUAGUGUUAUUAAAAUUUAGUUUUUAAUGUAUGAUUUAGGGUUUAGGAUUUUCAAACGUUUAGAGUUUAUCCAAAAUUUAAGGUUUAGGGUUUAAGAUUUAGGGUAUAGGGUUUAGUAUUUUGCUGAAGACUUAAAAAUAUUUAUUUAUUUAUUUUUUGUAACUAUUUUUAUGUAUUUUUAUUGUUUUAUUUUAAAAAGAUAAUCUUAUUUGGAAAUUUAAUGUUGUUUCCUUUUUUAAAAGAUAUCAAAUAUCAAAUACUCAAAUACUAUUGGUUGGUGAACCUAUAGGUUCAUCCUAGGGGGUGAACCCAAGAAUUACUCUUCUUUAUACACCGUCACUCUAUGCAACACAUUCUCGCGAUAGUAGGUUAAAUAUAUUGAUAUUAUUCUAGAAUUUUAGUUAAUUAAUUAAGAUAAAUUUGAUAGGCAAAAUAAAUAUCAUUUCUCACAUGGAUAGAUUAAAAGACCGGAGCUUCAGCAUUUAUUUAUAAAAGCAUAUAGUACAUUGAUAAUUAAUUAACAGAAACUUCCAACAUCAAUUAACUGAAACAGUCGUUCAUUGAGAUUAGCGUCAGUCGAUAGGAAGCUUGUUCAUCUUAAGAUACUUGUACUCUCUGUAGACAUAAGGCUUAAACUUAGGAGCAUCGUCAAUAACUAGCUCCGCCAAAGGUCCGACGACAUGAUCAAGGUUCGGUUCCGCGAACACCGGCCACGAGAGUCUCGUCCUUACCGUAUCCAUCGUCACUCUAUGCUCCCCACUCUUAUACCUCCCAUUGCUCAUCCUCU